GCUUCAAUAGAAAUAUUUUGAAUUAAUUUUCACUGUUAAAUACUCAAAGUCGAGCACAUGUGAAAUAUUUCUUCUCUUUUAUAUGAAGCUCACUUAACAUUCUUUCAAAACGUCCUGAAGGAGAAAUGCGAGAGACUACUCAAAAGUGUUUGGAGGAACACCAAAAUGAUAGUAGAAAUUCAGCAGAUGAAGAUGAGGGUGCUCUAAAUUCUAAUGAAGAAAAUGCCACAAUUACUAUCUAUUGUUUAGUCAAUCCUGAAGACUCCAGUAAAAAUGACUGCCUGCCUUCACAAUAACUUGGCUCAUAGUAUACAGAGAACCUAUGGAGAUACCUGUUAGAUUAUGUAGAUAUGGUUACCAUUUUGUAUUAGCUUCUUUCCCCAUUUUAUUUUAUAACUUAAUCUCAUCCCAUACUUAUUGUACUGGAAUGAAAUUUGCUAAGAUUUACUAGUAUGCUUAGAAAUCUGGGGGUAAUGGCAGAAUAUGUAGCCAUCAUGUGUUACAAUGUCAUUGUGCAAAUAAUGUAACUUUCUUAAUUGCAACAUUCUUCAAAAUGAGAAUGUUGCAAAUUAUACAAUCAAAUCAUGUGUGUGACAAUUUCAUGAUGCACUGAGACAAUGUCAUGAUGCACUAGACGGACAACCAAUUUGCAUCAAAGAUUCAAAUGAUCACCAGGUGGUACAAAUUCAGUCCCAGAAAUUACAGAUAUUGUAGAUCAGCAUUUGUUAAACACCAUCUUAGUUUUAUUGAAUAGCACUUGGAUAUUUGAUAUAGGCUGUUCCACUGUAGCAACUGACAGUACUGGAGCUGGUUAUAACUACCCUGGUGUUCCCAGGGCUAAAGUUACUCUUUUUCUUUUCUUAAAUUAUUGUGUUGCCUCAUGAGUAAGAUGAUCCAUUUAUCUUGCUCAUUCAAAAUGAAAGAUUAAUACUUUGAAAAGUAUUUGUUGAAUAAAAAUCCUGGUUCUAUAUAUGAUACAACCAUCUCCCACUUUUGAUACUUCACACUAGGUUUAAUCUUAAAUAUGGGGCCUACCAAGUUGGUUCUGUGAAUGAUAGCUGUGAUGGUUGUAUUUUACCAUUUAGAUAUUUUUUUUUACCCCUUGAAGUGCUUGUAAUUCUACAGAUAUUUAAUAAUUGACCCUCAGUUUAAUUUUCACAGUGAGAAUUUGCUGUGCUAGAAGCUCUUUUGGAUAUAACAUCCUGUAGCUAUUUUAUAUACAAGUGUUCUUUAUGUUCUUGACCAGCUCGAUACUUUUAGAAGAUUUUAGAUUCAUAAUUAAAAUUACCUUUUGCCUAAUUUCCAUCUUUUAGUAUGAUUAGAAACAGUAAAUCUGUCUACAUGUUAGAGAGUAAAUAUAGCUAUCAAGCUCUGCUGUAAUACAUUUGCCUAUGUGCAAAUGUGUAUUAAAAUAAAAUUAUUAAAUACACAUAUUUAAUAUGUGUAUUUAAUGGUAAAGUACUAGUACAAGCCAUAAAACCUCAGAUCACUAAUACUAGCACUUCUGUGGAAAUAUGUAAAUUCCACCUAGCUUAAACUCACUUGGAAUUUAGUAAUGAUGGCAAACAUUAAAUAGUAAUAAAAAUGAUAAUUGUUUUUUUAUAUAUUUUGAGGUUUCUAAGAGAUGUCUAACACUGCAUGCAUGUCUCUCUCUCCUCCCCCUCCCUCCCUCCCCUCCCCCCUCUCAAAAUUUCUCAAAUUGCUGCUACAAUAAUAGUUCAUUUUCUGGCAAUGAAGUUUCAAAGAGUAACAGCAGUUAUUGAAAUAUGAAUUGAAGUCCUAGCCCUCAUUUAAAAUGAUAAGAACUCAUAAUUAGUAUACAACUACCAUAAAUCAGCUGCCAAGCAAUAAGUCAACAUUUUUCUUUUCAAGUUGUUGUGUAAAUGAAAUGGCAAAUCUAAAGAGCUAAACUAAAUAGUUCAGGAAGAUUAGAGUGGCACUUUAGUCAAAUGCAGCCUUCGGCAGAAUUCUUCUGAUAAUAUUUCAUGGCAAAGAGUCAAAUAAUUCUGCAACUAUAGUUAUGCAAUCCAAGGGACUUUGGCCUUUUGUGUGUGGUAAAUAGUAUAGGCUAUAUGUCAUAACCCUAAAAACUGAAAGGAGUUUAACAAGCAAUUCAGAUAUGUAAUCAACAGAUAGUUCCACCCUCUUGAACUUUUGUCUCCUAGAAUUUUAUAAAUUACUACAGUACUAAUCUUUAUUAUGGUUGGUUGCACAAUCAGACAGAUGUUUAAACUGGAUUGA